rnacentral:rRNA from 1 species
UACGUAGGGGGCAAGCGUUGUCCGGAAUCAUUGGGCGUAAAGAGCGUGUAGGCGGCCCGAUAAGUCCGCUGUGAAAGUCCAGGGCUCAACCCUGGGAUGCCGGUGGAUACUGUCGGGCUCGAGUCCGGAAGAGGAGUGUGGAAUUCCUGGUGUAGCGGUGAAAUGCGCAGAUAUCAGGAGGAACACCAAUGGCGAAGGCGGCUCACUGGACCGGUACUGACGCUGAUGCGCGAAAGCGUGGGGAGCAAACGGG